GUCGUGAGACAGUUCGGUCCCUAUCUGCCGUGGGCGCUGGAGAAUUGAGGGGGGCUGCUCCUAGUACGAGAGGACCGGAGUGGACGCAUCACUGGUGUUCGGGUUGUCAUGCCAAUGGCACUGCCCGGUAGCUAAAUGCGGAAGAGAUAAGUGCUGAAAGCAUCUAAGCACGAAACUUGCCCCGAGAUGAGUUCUCCCUGACUCCUUGAGAGUCCUGAAGGAACGUUGAAGACGACGACGUUGAUAGGCCGGGUGUGUAAGCGCAGCGAUGCGUUGAGCUAACCGGUACUAAUGAACCGUGAGGCUUAACCUUACAACGCCGAAG
rnacentral:rRNA from 1 species